rnacentral:misc_RNA from 1 species
AAAAAAAAAAAAAAAGAAGAAAGGGAUUGAAGAAGAAGAAGAAAAUAAAGAGAAAAGGAAAGCUUAUGAUUUGGUUAACGGAGAAAAAGGAAAGGAAAACAUUCAAUCUGCGUUGUGUAAUUGAGAAAGCUGAGCCAACCGUUUUCAAAUUUGAAUUUUGUUAACCCUUCUCCCUCCGUCCUGUCAUGGAGCGGACUCUAUUUAUACCUCUCCCCGCUUUGUCCAUAAAUCAUUACAUCACCAUCCUUUGCAGCGUGACAGAUGCGUGUGGCCAAAGGGCAUAUCGCUUGCUCUUCAAAAUUUAUGAUAAGAGAAUCUUCACUCGUUAAUAUUCAGAUUUUUAUUUUUUUAUUUGAUAUGAUUAUUUGUUUUAAUUAUUUUUUUUUAAAUAUUAAUUUUAUUACCUCAAUUUUCAUUACUAAUAUAUUUAUUAAUACUAAUAUAGAAGUUAUAUAAAUUUUUUUUUAAUUAUUAUGAAUUUCAGCUUUGUACAGUUGGUGCAGAAACCAACUUUUUAAAAAAAAAAAA